rnacentral:tRNA from 1 species
GGUCGUCAUCUCCGGUGAGGUGGCAGGACUUCAAAUCCUGUUGGGGACGCCAGCGUUCCCGGGUGGGUUCAACUCCCAUGACCA